GUCGUGAGAUGUUGGGUUAAGUCCCGCAACGAGCGCAACCCUUGUCCCUAGUUGCUACGCAAGGGCACUCUAGGGAGACUGCCGGUGACAAACCGGAGGAAGGUGGGGAUGACGUCAAGUCCUCAUGGCCCUUAUGGGUAGGGCUUCACACGUCAUACAAUGGACGGUACAGAGGGUUGCCAACCCGCGAGGGGGAGCCAAUCCCAGAAAGCCGUUCGUAGUCCGGAUCGCAGUCUGCAACUCGACUGCGUGAAGUCGGAAUCGCUAGUAAUCGCGGAUCAGCAUGCCGCGGUGAAUACGUUCCCGGGUCUUGUACACACCGCCCGUCACACCAUGGGAGCGGGGUGCACCAGAAGUAGGUAGGCUAACCGCAAGGGGGCCGUUUACCACGGUGCGCUUCGUGACUGGGGUGAAGUCGUAACAAGGUAGCCGUAUCGGAAGGUGCGGCUGGACCACCUCCUUUCUCGGAACAGCUCGGGAUUGCAGUACCCACUCCUAUCGGUUGCAAGCAGGUGGCGGGGUGCACCUGUGUGGGGCGACAAACGGCGGGCCUGUAGCUCAGUUGGUUAGAGCAUCGUCUUGAUAAGGCGGGGGUCGAUGGUUCGAAUCCAUCCAGACCCACCACCGAGAUGCGGGGCUGUAGCUCAGCUGGGAGAGCACCUGCUUUGCAAGCAGGGGGUCGUCGGUUCGAUCCCGAUCAGCUCCACCAGUGUCAGGUAACAGGCGACAGGGAUCAGGGAUCAGAGAAAGACCAUAGGCAAGCCGGCUGGCUUACCUCUGGUUUUUUGAAUCAGAGAUAUCGGUUGUUCUUUAACAAUUGGGAAGAAGUGAAGAAGCUUGCUCGAGCGAUGGGGCAUGGCGUUAAGCCAUGGCUGAUGGCGCGGGCGAGCUGGGUUGAUUGUAGGGGUUGGGUAGUGGCGGACGGGUGGUGAGGGUUUCUGAGCCCUGAUCCCUGACCGCUGAUACCUGACACGCAAACACCUGUAAUGGUAGGCAGCGGUGCCUAGUGUUAUGGGGUCAAGCGACUAAGUGCAUGUGGUGGAUGCCUUGGCGAUCACAGGCGACGAAGGACGUGGCAGCCUGCGAAAAGCUGCGGGGAGCUGGCAAACGAGCAUUGAUCCGCAGAUAU
rnacentral:sRNA from 1 species